UACGGGGGGGGCAAGCGUUGUUCGGAAUUACUGGGCGUAAAGGGUGCGUAGGCGGCGCGGUAAGUCGGGUGUGAAAUCUCGGAGCUUAACUCCGAAACUGCAUUCGAUACUGCGGUGCUUGAGGACUGGAGAGGAGACUGGAAUUCAUGGUGUAGCAGUGAAAUGCGUAGAGAUCAUGAGGAAGACCAGUGGCGAAGGCGGGUCUCUGGACAGUUCCUGACACUGAGACACGGAGGCCAGGGGAGCAAACGGG
rnacentral:rRNA from 1 species